GCACAAGCGGUGGAGCAUGUGGUUCAAUUCGACGCAACGCGCAGAACCUUACCAGCCCUUGACAUGUGACUCGCCGGUACGAGAGAUCGUACCUUCGGUUCGGCCGGAGUCAACACAGGUGCUGCAUGGCUGUCGUCAGCUCGUGUCGUGAGAUGUUGGGUUAAGUCCCGCAACGAGCGCAACCCUCGCCCUUAGUUGCCAUCAUUCAGUUGGGCACUCUAAGGGGACUGCCGGUGAUAAGCCGCGAGGAAGGUGGGGAUGACGUCAAGUCCUCAUGGCCCUUACGGGCUGGGCUACACACGUGCUACAAUGGCGGUGACAAUGGGAUGCUAAGGGGUGACCCUUCGCAAAUCUCAAAAAGCCGUCUCAGUUCGGAUUGGGCUCUGCAACUCGAGUGCAUGAAGUUGGAAUCGCUAGUAAUCGCGGAUCAGCACGCCGCGGUGAAUACGUUCCCGGGC
rnacentral:rRNA from 1 species